ACAAGAGCAAAAAUUAAAAAUUAAAGAAUUAGAAUGACAAACCUACAAAAGAAUUUUAAAUAAAAAAUAAACA
rnacentral:rRNA from 16 species